CACUCGUGAAGGGUUUGCUGCAACCAUACCAUAAUCAGAACGUCCCAAUUCAUCACGAUGAACAGCGUUUUGCAUAGUUAAGCCACGCAAAAAUACUAAGUCUACCAAUGCCUCAAUAGACAAAACAUCACCCAUAGCGGACAAAGCAGAAUAUUCACCCAAAGAAUGACCAGCAAAGGCACAGUCGUUUUGAACUAAACCUUUAGAACGCAUGUCUUCAAAUGCCGACUUCUCCAUCAAUGUCAGUGCAGGUUGAGUAAAUUGAGUAGCUGACAAUAAGCCGGAAGGAUGAGUGAAACUAAACGAGGUAGAGUCCUUAGUAAUGGUUUCAAAUACUGGGACAACUUUGCUAGUUCCGUCUUCCAUGAGCUUUUCGUAUGCCAUAGCCAUAUAGUUAUCACGAAUCUUUUUACCCUUAGAACCACCAAAGUGAAUGGUGAUGCUAUGGGGAUUAUGUUUGACAAUGUCAAUAAUGGAGAAUCCAUAGUUCGUUAAGAAGUGCUUGUCGGCACUGUCCCAAAUCUUACGAGCUACGGGACUUGAAGCAUAUAGAUCCAUACCCAUACCCUGUUCUUGAGAACCCUGACCGGUGAAAACAUA